GACCGCGCAUCUGCAAGGAUGCUGGCGUAAUGGUUGUCAGCGACCCGUCUUGAAACACGGACCAAGGAGUCGUCCUAAUAUGCGAGUGUUCGGGUGUAAAACCCCUACGCGUAAUGAAAGUGAACGGAGGUGAGAGCUUCGGCGCAUCAUCGACCGAUCCUGAUGUUCUCGGAUGGAUUUGAGUAUGAGCAUAUUGGGCCGGACCCGAAAGAAGGUGAACUAUGCCUGUAUAGGGUAAAGCCAGAGGAAACUCUGGUGGAGGCUCGCAGCGGUUCUGACGUGCAAAUCGAUCGUCAAAUAUGGGCAUGGGGGCGAAAGACUAAUCGAACCUUCUAGUAGCUGGUUUCCGCCGAAGUUUCCCUCAGGAUAGCAGUGUUGAAUUCUCAGUUUUAUGAGG
rnacentral:rRNA from 1 species